GACGAACGCUGGCGGCGUGCUUAACACACGCAAGUCGAACGGAAAGGCCUGCUUUCCCUUGUGGAUUGCGGGUACUCGAGUGGCGAACGGGUGAGUAACACGUGAGUGAUCUGCCCCCAACUUGGGUAUAAGCCUGGGAAACUGGGUCUAAUUCCCGAUAGGACUGCAGGGUGGUGCCUGUGGUGGAAAACGAUUUUCUAGUGGUUGGGGAUGAGCUCGCGGCCUAUCAGCUUGUUGGUGGGGUAAUGGCCUACCAAGGCGGCGACAGGUAGCCGGCCUGAGAGGGUGGACGGCCACAUUGGGACUGAGAUACGGCCCAGACUCCUACGGGAGGCAGCAGUGGGGAAUAUUGCACAAUGGGCGGAAGCCUGAUGCAGCGACGCCGCGUGGGGGAUGACGGCCUUCGGGUUGUAAACUCCUUUCGACCGCGAGGAAGCCACCUGGUUGGAAGGGUGGUGACGGUAGUGGUAGAAGAAGCACCGGCUAACUACGUG
rnacentral:rRNA from 1 species